rnacentral:lncRNA from 10 species
CUUGGGUCCCCUUCCAUGCUGUGGAAGCUUCGCUCUUUCGCUUUUCACAAUAAAUCUUGCUGCUGCUCACUCUUUGGGUCCACACCACCUUUAUGAGCUAUAACACUCACUGCGAAGGUCUGUAACUUCACUCCUGAAGCCAGCGAGACCACGAACCCACUGGGAGGAAUGAGCAACUCCAGAUGCACUGCCUUUAAGAGCUGUAACACUCACUGCAAAGGUCUGCAGCUUCACUCCUGAAGUCAGUGAGACCACGAACCCACCAGAAGGAAGAAACUCUGGACACAUCUGAACAUCUAAAGGAACAAACUCCGGAACAAACUCCAGACACACCAUCUUUAAGAACUGUAACACUCACCACGAGGGUUUGCGGCUUCAUUCUUGAAGUCAGCGAGACCAAGAACCCACCAAUUCCGGACACAUUUUGGCAACCAUGAAGGGACUUUUAAUUGCCAUGCAGUGAGACUUUCACCUAUCACCAAGCGGAAGUUGGAAAGGGUCACAUCCCAAAACUGAAAAGCAAAACCAAAGUCUGCAUAUGAAACUAUGAGGUUGUGUGUCUGUGUCUGGAAGAAAGUUGGAGGUGGAUAACGUGCAAGGACUUAAAUAGAGUGCACUUUGUUCACUGCUGCCUUCUUCAGAUUUGAAGAUCACAGAUGGGGUUUGAUAACGUGGUGCCCCAGCCCAAGAAAAGACGACAAUAAAAUAAUGAAGGAGGAACCUAAGAGCAGCUAAGCAUGCCUAAAGUAGGAAUAUAUUUCUAGCUCAUUUCUUCCCCACUCAUAACUAUUGAAAAGCAGCUGGCUGUUUCUUUAAUUUAAUCCUUUGUCUAUCUUAGAGUUGACAAAGCAGGUUCUAUUUAAAGGAGCCUUUUACAUUUUCAAAGGAGAAAAAAAAUGGGGUGGGGGUGGCAUAUUAUAUGAGGAAACUUUAAAAACUCUUCACAAAAUAUAUAUGUUGCAGGAGAAAAGUAUCAGGGGAGAACCAAAUGAGUUCGAUGUUUCCUUGUUUCUGCAGUCUCUUGACCUGAGUUCUAAUCCUGAAUCACUGCCACAUGACCUUGGAAGGUCAUUUCAUUUGUUUGGAUCGCAGGUACUCUUCCAAUCUUCUGGAAUUCUUCCUGGGGCUUUAAAUGUGUGUAUCUUCCACUCUGAAUUUCCUCCUGUGACCUGCCAAAUUCACAAAUAACACGGGAGAGGCUGUCGCACUGCAUUUAGUUCUGCAGGAUCACCAGCAUGUGGGUGGAUUCAAAUCUAUGAUCUUACUAUUUCAUUUAACCCAGAUGCUGCAUUUCUUCUGCCUUCUCAGCUUAAGUGAGGUAGACUUGGACUGAAAUGAACUGGCUUCAUCCCAAUCUGGAGAAGACAGAUACUACCUGGCAAAAGCAAAUAUCUGGAGGAACAGACAGUUUGUCCCUUCUAUUGAAAGCACACGUCUAGCUUUAGCUGGUAACCUCUUCAGUCUUAAAGCUAUAUUGAAUUCAUAAUCAGAGCACUGGAAGAGACAAUAAGAACUCAUCUCUUGUGUUCCUUUGACUGUUAUAGAAAACUUCUAUUUUCCCAGAUAAAUUGGUAAACCAUCCAUCCACCUUUGAUUAGCCAUUAUAAUGCAAGCAACCUUUGACACAGAUGACCCAUAUCAGCAAAUAACCCAUGAGUUCAAUAUAUUAGACCUUGAGAUGUAUUAUGUUAUUUUUUUCCCCAUCAGCUUAUACUUCUGCUCAGGAAAAAAGAAAAUCUGCAUAUUUCAUCCAAAGAUGACUACUACUUUUUCACAUUUUAA